UUUUAAUUUUCUCUUGUUAUAAUUAAAAUUCAAAGAAAUUUUAUCUGUUUUUAAAGAUUUUCUUUUCAUGAAUUAAAUGGAUUCAUUUAAAAAAAAAAAAAGGCACAUUUCAUUUCUUAUUUGCUAUACUAUUUCUUGAAGCUUAUUAUUGUUUACAUAUUAUGUUGGAUAAACAUAGUAAAGGAAAGUAGAAAGAUUUCAGCAACAUUUGAAUAAAAACUGUAGGAGUAGAUAAAAAUGUUUAAAAAAGAUCUUCCAUAAUUUGUGAUUGGUUUUUAUCCAACAAGUUGUUUGUUUUUAUUUUUUGUCCUUGUGAAGGCUUCAGGAUAGAAAACACAUGUACAAUAUCCAGCAGCAGUCAAUCGGGCUGCUCACCGAUGGCCCGAUAGCCCAGUUGGUAAAGGGCGAUAACUCCUAUGCUGGAAUUCCUCUACUGUGUGUCUAUUAUACAAAGAUUCCCCUAAUAUCAACUAACAGUUUAUACAUACCAUAUUCGUCCUAUUGAGCAACCCGGGUGCUUAGAAAAUUGGAGGGGGGUGGUGGUUAUUUAGUACUCUAUGCUGAAAUAUUCCCAUUAGAUAUACACAUAAAUUUUAUUUCAUUUCUUCUAACACUAAUAAUUAAUCCAUUCUUGUCUACAUUAAAAUAUACAGUAGUAGCUAUUAUUUUCAAUUUCACUUGAAACCGUUUGUGUCAUAGACUAAUACCACGUACGAUUUACUAAACUUUCGGUUUCACUUUCGCAGCACAAAUAUGGCCGAGUAUGAAUAUAGUUUAGGAAAUUUCAUGUUUACAGAGAUAUCUAUAAUCUGGGAUCCAUUCCAGGGAGAAACUCUUAAAAAAUAGAAAUCAACAAUCCUAUGCAUAAAUAUGCGAUUGCUGUUGUAAAGGACGGUGCAGUAGUUGGACACGUGCCUCGAAAAAUAAGAGGAACAAUCCUGCACAUCAUUUGUGGAAAUGGAAGAGUUAGAGGCAGAACAGGAGGAACAAUCAUGAACAUCAUUAGUUGAAAUGGAAGAGUUAGAGGCAGAACAGUCAUUUCACCCAAGGAGGCAUGCAUAUGGAUUUAGGCUGUGAAAAAGAACCCCAAACAAAAUGGCGGCUGGUGAAUUAGAUAAAGUUUCUGAGUGUAGGAUCUGAACGGAGAAUAGGAAUACUGCAUCCCAUCUGACCCUGCAGGAAGAAAGACAUCUGGCAAAGACAAGAACAAAGGAGAGAGAACAUUUUUGGAAAUUUAUGAAAUUUUCAGUGUGUUUGGACACAGGAGCUAUGAUAUCCAUCCAUUCUGGUUGCCUCAGGAUCGAUUCUUGUGAAUAUAGAAAAUUGGAAA